CGCCGGGCCCGCCGCGGGGGGGGAGGUGCCGCGCCCGGCGGCCGCCUCGGAGCACCCGGCGGCCGCUGCGACAGUGACGCCUCCCGGUUUAUGGAGAAAUCGGGGACUGCCCACAAUUCGGCAUCAUUUCUGCCCUUUGGCACCAGCCGUGACCAGAUCAGCGUGAACGCUGACUUUUCCUCCACAAACGGUGCCUGCCCAGCCUGCUGGGGUAAAUGCCAGAGGGAGCCAGACUGUUCACUAAGAGCUAUAACGUGUGUAUGGAGGACAGCGUAAUGGCUGCUACAGUAAAAGAGUGUCUUGAGCUCCAGCUCCUGGAAGUGGAAAUGCUCUUGUCAAUGUUUCCUAAAAAAGGCGAAAUAAAUCUGUGUGAUGAGGAUGCUGUGCUUGGCAUGCGGCGCUGAGAAACUCUAAGGGAGCUCUGCCCCCGCGGCUCGAGUAUUCAGUUGCUAUUGAUGUAGGGAAGUCAAAGGUGAGAACUUCCACUUAGAUGUGUUCAUGUGUGUUGUCUUCUUUACUGCUAGUGCAGACACUUAAAAAGCAAGAUUUUUCCCCAACUCUGCUCUAGAAAAGGAAGGAAAAAAAAGUAUUUUCUGUUUGCCAUUUCAAAAGUUAAGAGUAAAAACAUCUGCUGGGUUUUAAUUAUUUAUCUGAGCCUUAACUUUCUUUGGGCAAGAAAGGCUAAUAGAAUUGCAGAUAAGAAUAGACAGUGAUGUCAGCUGACACACACAUUUCUUAAGAGCUUAGCUAGGGCUGUGUCCAUAUGAGAGUUGUUAGUUUACUGGUUUACAAAGAGUUGUGUAUUGUAAAGGCAAAGCUUUCCUUGUGUAAAUACAUACAUUGCACUUUAUACASUUCUAGUAAAAUCACCCUAAUAUUUCUCUCAUCUGCCCUUUGCCAUGAAUACUUACUUUCAUUGAUGUGUAUUUGAAAAGAUGACUAAUGUAAAAAUAGUCAAAAAUGGUGGAAUACUAUUAAGAAGAGUAACACGAACAUUAAAACCAGCCUAGGAACUGGGAAACAACAUUUACAAUAUAAGAGUUCCAUUAGCUUACCUUAGUUGUCAUGCCUAACCUUUUUUUCAAUAAGUGAUGAAAAUACUUGCACAGAAAAUAGCCAUUAGUGCAGGCCUGAGUAUAAAAUAGUACAAUGAUUGGAAGUUGAAAGUAGACUCAACCUAAAAGUAUAUGCAGUUUCCUAGAAAUAGCAAUAAUUAAAUAUUGGAACAAAUUAUGGGGUAAAGAGGUAGACAUCAUUAUUUGGAAACAACUACAAGAUUAGGUAUAUAUCUAAAAUGUACCCAACCUUUUAAGAGAAGUUCAGUGAACUGUGUAUGGAGGGCUUGUGUUGUAAGAUUUUUUUUUUUUCCCAUGACAGAUUUUCAAAAAACUUGGGAAGGUAAUU
rnacentral:lncRNA from 1 species